GAUGCUGUGUAUCAUGGAUGCAAUUCCGGCUUCUUCUAUUGAACCUGGGGGUUUAGCCCCUACGCAAACAGAAUUUGUUCCAGUGAAUGUAGAUUCCUUCCCCUCCCUCCACUUUUUUAGAUCAAAAUCAACUCGCGUGGAUAAUUUCUCAUCCGGGCCUUUACCAAGUCCAAAAGAUGAAGUUCUAACUUUGAAGAACAAAGCUCCUAGGUGGCAUGAACAACUCCAAUGCUGGUGUCUUAACUUCAAUGGCCGGGUGACAGUCGCUUCUGUAAAAAACUUUCAGCUAGUUGCUUCUCUUGGGGAUGGAGCUGGACAGGAAAAUGACAAUGUUAUUCUCCAAUUUGGGAAAGUGGGAGAGGAUUUGUUCACCAUGGACUAUCAGUAUCCUAUCUCUGCAUUUCAGGCAUUUGCUAUCUGCCUCAGUAGCUUUGACACCAAAAUCGCCUGCGAAUGAUGAGAUAAACAGGUUCUGCAAGAAGUACUGAGGUGUUUGGAUUGGGAGAUUGCACUAACCCUAUUUACGUUGGUUACUGAACUAACGCUCAGUUAAAUUGCAGUAGGUAUGUUUGUUGUUGAGGAUUAAUCACCCGUUCUUCAUGCUCUCGGACCUUCCGUUUCUUGGUUUUUUGUAAAUAGACAAGGAUGUUUUUACAGUUUGGUUCAUCCAACUUUUCUAUUUCUAUUAGCACAAUGUUCAUCCAACUUUUCUAUUUCUAUUAGCACAAUGUUCAUCCAACUUUUCUAUUUCUAUUAGCACAAU
rnacentral:misc_RNA from 1 species